AGCCGCGGUAAUACCGGCGGCUCGAGUGGUGGCCACUUUUAUUGGGCUUAAAGCGUUCGUAGCUGGGUUGUUAAGUCUCUUGGGAAAUCCGGCAGCUUAACUGUCGGGCGUCUAAGGGAUACUGGUAAUCUUGGAACCGGGAGAGGUGAGGGGUACUUCGGGGGUAGGAGUGAAAUCCUGUAAUCCUCGAGGGACCACCUGUGGCGAAGGCGCCUCACCAGAACGGCUUCGACAGUGAGGGACGAAAGCUGGGGGAGCAAACCGGAUUAGAUACCCGGGUAGUCCCAGCCGUAAACGAUGCGCGUUAGGGGUAUCGGUGACCACGAGUCACCGAGGGGCCGAAGGGAAACCGUGAAACGUGCCGCCUGGGAAGUACGGUCGCAAGGCUGAAACUUAAAGGAAUUGGCGGGGGAGCACCACAACAGGUGGAGCCUGCGGUUUAAUUGGACUCAACGCCGGAAAUCUCACCGGAUAAGACAGCUGAAUGAUUGCCGGGCUGAAGACUCUGCAUGACUAGCU
rnacentral:rRNA from 1 species